GUCUCUUGCUUCAACAGGGUUUGGACGGAGCAGACCCGGGGACUCCCCUCUUCCAGCCCCCCACUGCCCUCCGAUCUCCUCUCCACUUGCAACCUCCAAGACCACCUUCUCGGCCACCUCCUGUUUCUGGGACCAGCGACCACCGUUUUUGCAGUGAGCUCCUUCUUGCCGACCAACCAUGAGCUCCCAGGUUCGUCAGAAUUAUUCCACCGAGGUGGAGGCAGCCGUCCAUCGCAUGGUCAACUUGCAUCUGCCGGCCUCCUGCACCUACCUCCCUCUGGGCUUCUAUUUCAAUGCGAGGAGGUGGCCCUGGAAAGCAGGGGCCACUUCUGCAAAUGCGGCAAAAGCAUCUCUUGAAGAUGCAAAACCAGCGAGGCGGCCGCGCCUUCUUCCAGGAUAUCCAGAAGCUCUCUCAAGAUGAGUGGGGUAAAACCCUGGAUGCCAGGGAAGGCAGCCAUGACCUUGGAGAAGAACCUGAACCAAGCCCUUUUGGACCGUCAUGCCCUGGGAUCCACAGACUUCCAUCUCUGUGACUUCCUGGAGAACCACCUUCUAGAUGAGGAAGUGAAACUCAUCAAAAAGAUGGGUGACCACCUGACCAAUCUUCGCAGGCUGGCCAGGCCGAGCCUAGGCUGGACGAGUAUGUAUUUGAAAGGCUCACCCUCAAGCACAACUAG